rnacentral:tRNA from 1 species
AGCAGGGUGUAGUGGUUUGAGUGUUAGACUAUGACUCUGGAGACUAGGGUUUAAAUCCCUGCUUGGCCA